GACGCGGGUGGCAGCUACCCUCAGGAAGCUUGGGGUGCCACCCCUCA
rfam:Hepatitis C virus genotype 7, complete genome